rnacentral:lncRNA from 1 species
UCCAUCCAGUCUGCAGAGCUCCGGGGUAGGGGGUGAUGUUCAGGCCAAAGCAGGCCGCACCGCCUCGGCGCUGUCUCCUUGCGCACGGGUGGACCCCUUCCCCAGCAGAGCCCCUGGCACGUGGCACCCGCAACAGACCGAACACGGGCCCACGGCCGAUUCUUCCCGACCACUCAGUCCCACACGUGUGCAGGUGGAGAGGGGACUUUAAUGGCAUUCCUCCAAUGGACUCAAGAAGACAAGAAGGGUGUCCCAUCCCGGGCAGCGGCCCCCAGCGGCGUCUGCUUCCGAUGGCAAGCCCAGGGGUCCCUGGGGCGGUCCUGAAGAAGCUGGAGUCCUGGGCUCCAGGGCGGCCUGAGGAGCCCUGCAGGUGGCAAGGACGCAGCAGUGGGGGUGGCAGGGGGCGGUGGCAGCUCCAGCUGGCUCGCGGGACAGGCCCGCGAGUGGUGGCUCCAGCCAGCGCGAGGCGCGGGCUCAGGACCGGCUCCUGUCCUCAUGGUUCCCAACGAUCAUCUUGCUGUACAGCUUCUGCUGCUCCUCUUUGAACGUGUCCUUCACCUUCUCCCUCUUCAGACCACCAUCCCUGAUGGGAGAAAGGCUGGUGUAAGAGCAAAGGAGGCCUCCCGCCCACCCAGUCACAGCCAGCAGCAACACGCUGCUCCAAACCCGAGGAGAACCUGUCAGAAACAAAAGUACCCCGUGGCUCUCUCCCUCCCGAAGUGCCGUCAGUAGUGAGGCUGCACGCCCCAACUCCACCGUUUCUAUUAUAGCUCUCACUCUUGCCCUGGGGUCAGAACUCCCCAGUCAUGUUCAAGGCACUUUGUAAUCACUUCAGCCUACAAGGAGUUUACAAUUCUUUCUACCAAUUUGCCCUCACCUUACAAAAGAUACAGGAGGUAUUCUGGGAUCAUGGAACGUGAGCCAAGCUUUAAGAAAUACUGAGACUAUAAUCAAUCUGCACAUCUGAUCUGUGGGAUAAAAUCUGUAAAUUCAGACCCAGGGAUUCUGCAAAUUCAUGCCAACAACAAACAAGGGGAGCUGCCACUCCUGACUUCUGUGCGUGAGGGACAGUGCUGCAAAGGAAACCAAGUCACUCUCAGGGUCCUGGGCUGAUGACCCUGGCACCGCCCUCCAAUAUCUCCCAAUCAAUUCCCUAUACUUGGAUUUGGUUCUUCAAAGUCCCACUUCCAUUCGUCACCCCAACUGCUUGCCUACACCCUAGAAGGAGCAUCUCUCACCUUCAACAACUAACGGAAGCCCAAGUCCACCUUCAGGCUUUCCACUACAGCUUUUUUCCCCUUUGAGUUAUGGAGGUGGCCGUGGCAGAGAAAGUCAGGACGGACCUUACGCUGAUGCCCUUACCAUCUGCUGCCCCUUUACAAGCCAUGGCAAAGGCAGUCACGCUGGUCGUUCUUAGGCCUCGCGGACAGGGCAUGCGGGCAGUGGCAAACACUCCAGCUCCAGCAGCCUGUCAGACCGGAGUUCAAAGUCUGGCUCCACUGCUUGCUCUGUGACUCUGAAAAUGGUUACCUGACCUCUCUGAGUGCGGGUGUCCUGUUUGUAAGAUGGGAGUAACAAUGCUCAUACUGCAGGCACCUGCUGUGAGGACGGAGUGAGCUCGGCACCUAGAGCAGCCUCAGCACAGCGUCUGGCUGAUGAGGAGUGUUCGAUAAGGGAAGCAAUUUUUAAAAGGCCAUACCUGAGAGCCAUGCCAUCACCUAAGAAUCCACAUGUCAGUAUCAAAUUUGAAUUUCUACAUUCUUUCUCCGUAAUGCCCACUUUAGUCAAAUGCCCUAUAGAACUCACCCUUGUGCUUAAAACAAAGGGUCCUAGGGCAUGGAAUGAUUUCCCUGAACCAGCAUUCCUCCCGAUCACAGUCCUGUAAUUUGGAGGCUAACUAUCGCAUAUUCUGGCGUAAGGGUCCACAACUAUGGCCCGUGGGCCGAAUGCAGCCUGGUAACUGUCCUGAUAAAGUCUUACUGGAACACAGGCAUGCUCCUUUGUUCACACAGUCUCUGAUCGCUGCCACACUAUGAUGGCACACUUAAGCUGUUACUAUGGAGACCACAUGAUCCACAAAGUAAAAAAAUUUACUGACUCUACAGAGAAAGUUUGCCAACUGCUGCUCUAAUAGGUAACAAGCCAAAUACAAUAAAGGAAACUUCUGUCUUUCCAAGGAUAGUCCAGUUCUGCCAAAUGUACAAGAUCAGAGAGCCUAGUGCUUCUAUGAAGUUUCCAGACCAGCAUCAGGCCGGCCCUUCUGAAGGACCAGGACUGCCUGGUGUUCUGGUAGACUAAUACAAACCCAGAAGGUACACAGAAUCGACUGCUUCAGUCUAGUCAUGCUGGGCUGUGUUCCCCAAAGUUAGGGCGGCAUGGACUACUUCUGAGUUGACACCAGGAGAAAGGAGUCAAACUGUUCACUCUCCAAGGCUGACAUGCUGAAUUCUCUACAACAGGGAGAAGGUGGAUUCUUUGUAAAUGGAGUCAGCAAUUCAGCUUCUGCUUCAGAAAUUCCCAUCCUGCUACACUCAGCUGAUAAAACCCGGCUCUGACUCACCAAAGCAGGUCCACGAGCCCUCCCUGCCUGGCAAUGGCCGAUUUCACCCUAUUUGCAAACUGGACGGCAUCUUCAUCAGUCUGUGAGAAAGAAUAAAUGAGACCACUCAACACAGGCUGAUGUCACACAGAUAGAAGUGAAGACUUCUGCAUGGUGUGGGGACCCACCUCUCUGGUCAUGGGAGGCAGGUACCAAACACUGCAGACAAUGGCCCAGCUGGUCAUCAUUCUCAGCAGGUACGUUACCAUCCCAUAUUUGCUGCUGUUCCAGAAGGCAUCACCAAACUGAGGGUCAUACUGAAAAAGAGUGGAAAAUUGGAUGGUAAGAAGUCAGUAGUUCAAACGAGGUGGGUUGUCAACAGCAACUUUUGUGAAUACAUCACCUGGGGCAGUAUCAGUACCAGAAAGCCACACUCAGACCCCUCCAUGAACACUUCUGAAAUGAUUCUACACCUGGGCACUAUGACCUUUAGCAACACGAACCCCCUGACUGACUCAGAUUUUGCUGUGGAUCAUUAGGGAGGACUCCCUGAACCGCCUUCCCCCAACAAACGUCCUCCUUCUCUUUGAUCCAUUUCAGGUUUUACUCAUUCAUGGGUGUAUGUAGUUAUUAACAUGUUUAAGCAGAUCCAAAACCAGAGAAGAGGAUUAGACACUCCCAUAUCUCCACUUCCCAGAUUCAACCAUUACCGACAUCCCACCAUCCUUGCCCCUGCCAUCCCGCACCCGCUCACAAACCCUAUCUCCAACAAUGGUGUCCUUCACUCCUCAAUGCUUCUACAUGUGCCUCACUCAAACAGAGAUACCUUCUCACAUCAUUGCCAAGUUUUCAAGAUCAUUUCUGGUGCUCCGGACCAAGGAGAAGACAAUUACAAAGCUUACAUUAUGCUUCUGUAAUUAUACCUCUAACAAAGCUAACGAUCUGUUUAAGCGGGAGGCUCUGCUCUGAUCACAUCGCCAGCAUUCUAGAGGGAACAGGGGUGCGAUGGCUCACGAGGCCACCACACGCGUGCUGCCCUCCCUGCCAAGCGGCAGGCUCAACAGAGACUUUCUUUUGCCAAUGACUCUAGUGGAGGUAAGGCUGUACUCCAGUGGUAUCUCGUGGGAAAAGUGGCUGACACCAUGACCCGCAGUCUCACCAACAGAAGAAGAAUUUAAGCAGCAGGUAAGCAGGGUUGGGAGAGCUGUGCAAGCUAUUGAAGCAGCAAAAGGAACACAGUCUUUGAAGACAAUGACCGAACCGAGUGUCCUGCAACUGCCAGCACGUGUCUGAAGGGCUCUCACAGACAUGACACCAGACUGUAAUUAUAGUGCAAAGACGGGGACCAGAAUGGGGAAAAUUAGAAAGAGGCAGAAUCUCAAGAGUUCUCCCACAGGACCUAGCUGCCACUGUGUCAGAAAUGCCCUUUCUCUGCAGAAGCUCGAGAAGGAACACCAGCAGGGACGCUGUGGAGACUAAGGCACUUGACAGGCUGGGGCAGGAUUUGGACUACACAAUCUUUUUUAAGGCUCUCCAAGCCACUUUAUGAUUCUCAGAACAGAAAUUGGAUAAUUAUGCCUAGUUGUGGACCUGACUACAGGAAGGAAGACAUUUAGAUUAAAUUACAGACUCAACUAAGAAAUUCAAAUUUAUAGAAAGCUUUGUGAGUUUAUAGUAUAAUAGCAAAGGGAAAUAAAGGAGAAGAACGAGUUUUAAAUAGAAGCUAAUGUUGAAAAACUGCACAGAGAAACGAAACUGUUCAAGCAUAAUUUUUUCCUCCAUUUGAAACUGGCAUCCCUUUGUAUGGCCAUCCCUGAUCUAUUACUUAUGGCUUGCAAUUUAUAAACAGAAAGAGUUACAAACCCCUGUUAGAAUCUCUCUGCAGCACUAUCACCAAGAGCCAAAUUAAGGAAAGAGCCCAAAUGUCCUUCGACAGAUAAAUGGAUGAAGAAGAUGUGGUGUAUACAUAUAAUGGGGUACUCCUUGCAAUCAAAAAGAAUGAAAUCUUGCUAACCUGCAACAUUGUGGAUGGAAUUAGAGGGUAUUAUUCUAAGCAAAAUAAGUCAGAGAAAAGACAAAUAGCAUAUGGUUUCAUUCAUGUUUGGAAUUUAAGAAACAUACCAGAUGAACACAGGGAAGGGAAGGAAAAAUAAGAUAAAAACAGAGAGAGAGGAAAAAUAAGAGACUCUUAAAUACAGAGAACAAAAACUGAGGGUUGCUGGCGGGGUGGUGGUGGGGGAUGGGCUAAAGAGCUGAUGGGCAUUAAGGAGGGCACUUGUUGGGAUGAGCACUGGGUGUUACAUGGAAGUGAUGAGUCACUGGGUUCUACUCCUGAAACCAAUACUACACUGUAUAUUAACUAACUUGAAUAUAAAUAAGUUUUUAAAAAAAGAAAAAAAGAGAAGCUAAUGUUUAUGUUUUGAAGAAAGUGGUGUUACAUUUUAUAAGCACUAUAUGGAUAAAAUAGUUGAUGUUAUGUGUGCCAGCACUUUGUUUAGAGUUGAUUUUCUGUUCCAUGCUGGGCAGACACUGUUGAGAGAAAAACAAAGCAAAAACUCAAAAUAGUAAUAAAUUUCUCAAAGUCAAAUAAUGGUUUAAUCUUGGUGCAAAUGUAGUAAGAGUCUUGAAAUUGCUAAGAUUGUCCAAAUUUGAUUACCAAUGAAGGCUUUAUAACAACUAGCAAAGUUUUAGAGCAAAAGGUUUUUUUUUUUUCUGUUUUUUCUUUUAUUUGAGAGAGGAAGAAAGCUUGAGUUGGAGAGGGGCAGAGGAAGAGAGAAUCUUAAACAGGCUCUACGCUCAGUGGGGAGCCCAACAUGGGGGAUCCAUCCCACAAACCUGAGUUCAUGACCUAAGCCAAAAUCAAGUCGGAUGCUCAAAGGACUCAGGCACCCCAAGCAGAAGUUUUUAAUCAUAAGUGUUUGUUAAUAAAUUUGGGGAGUGAAUGAAAUUAUAUGUAAAAUUUACAUGCCUUUUGGGGCACCUGAGUGACCCAGUCGGUUAAGUGUCCGACUUCAGCUUGGGUCAUGAUCUUGCAGUUCGUGGGUUCGAGCCCUACACUGGGCUCGCUGCUGUCUGCACAGAGCCCGCUUUGGAUCCUCUGUCCCCCUCUCUCUGCCCCUGCCCCAUUUGUGCUCUCUCAAAAAAUAAACGUUAAAAAAAAAAUUUUUUUUUUAAAUUUACAUGCCUUUUUCUUUGGAGAAGAGCCAUAACUGCCCAAAGGGUCCAGGUACCCAAACUUGUUAAGAACCACUGCUCCACAGCAGGGUUCCCAAACCAGCGCAUCAGCAGCACCCAGAAUGGGUUAGAAAUGCAAGUUCAGAAACACCCAGCAAUCUGCAUUUUCCCGGUCCUCCCAGGUGAUGUUGAUGCAGCUGUAAAGAACCGACGUUCCGGAGUGAGCAGGGACAGUGAGGAAGGGCCUCCUCUAGGAAUUUGUUUCUUACGAGCAUGUACAGAGCAGCCCAGGAUCCCGAGUACAUUCAAAUGCAGGACGGCAUGCACAUGACACAAACACGGCUCCCCAGGUUCUUCCUCAUAGCAGACACAGCUAAUGGACUGUUUUCUUUCUUGAGUUCCCAGAGACAGCACCCUCAACAGGUGGCUUAUGCAGCCCUGACCCAUGGAUCAGUUAGUUAGUUACCCUACAGCCACUGUUCGUGUGCCAUUCCUGCACUGGAGCUCUGCCUCCCUAGUCAAGCGGAGGGCUGGUGAGUGUUCGCUUACCCAGGAGAAACCCCUCUUCCUCAACUGCACGAGCUGUGCUGGCAAAGUGACAGUGAUUCUUUCAAAAGAAUGCUCUGCACACAACAAGUAGACCCUUGCAAAAGUAUAGAGACUAAAUUCUAAGUAUAACUGACACAGAUUUACUCAUUGUUUCACCCUGAUCUGAGAUUUCAACGUCAAUACUUUAAACAUACUGACAACAGCCUGUGGUGUUUAGAAACCAUAGUAUUCUUUUAGAAAUAGUACAAUGUAAGUAUUUACAAAAUCAGAUGGACGUGAUGGGGGGGCAGGAAGGAGAAAAAAGAGAAACUGACUGAAUUCUAUCCUCCCAGGUAAGUCUGAGCAGUUAGAGGUACAAGCACCCGCAAGGUGGGGGAGCAGCCUAGACGAGCUCUUUGGGUGCAUUUCAUUUUCAUAAGCUGUUCCUGGUACAGAAAAUGACACCACAGCCCAAGCUGUGGAGCUGUCUCUUCCUUCAGUGUUAAGAACACAUCUGUAGCCAUCCGUGUUGGCCUCUCCACCAACUGUACAAAUCCAGCCGGGCCACACCCUCAACUCCCUGCGGCAAGCCUCCUCUUCGAGUGGAGUACCUUGCAUUCUGGGUAGGUUUAGGAAGAAAGAUGUGAUAAGUGGGGGGGGAGGGUGGCGACAAGCAAAGCUUGUGAAGGGUCCCCCACCUCCUGAAUCUGGUGGUGGCAGCGAGGUGUGGGCUCCAAUUGGCUGUUCCUCAUUCAGCCCCUCCCUGCCCCUUCUAAUGGGCUGGAGACUGUGAACAAUUCCAUGGUCUCCUCCUCCAGCAUACUCUACCCACACUAGCCAAGCCCAAGCUGCUCCACUGGAGGAUCAACCCACGAACCAGUGACACCAGCUUCUUCCUCCCCUUUCUCUUGCUGUGUCCCAUUCAUGGCAUCUGCGGUAACAACCACAUGUCCCCUCAGAGGUCUUGCUUGUACCUUGAUAGCAACAGGGUAAACUGUGGCUCCAAUCUCAAAACUUCCUUUUUUGAACAUCAUCACUGAUGUAUUAUUGAUGCAGGUUCCUAAAACGCAGAAGAGAGUAAAAUGCUAUUUCUUUUGGUCCUUUACCUCAGAGACUAGGAGUUUAAGGACUAAAUACAAUAAUAAAACCUCUUCUAAUGGCUUUUCAAACAGGAUAAAUCUGUCAUCUCCAUAGCUUAUGGAUGAACACCUAAAAGGGAUAAGCAAGACACUGUACUGUUUCUUACUCUAGUACAAGAUCAUUUUCCCAAUUAACACACCCUGAUUAGAUAAAAGGCCAGAGCCACUCAGUGGACUUGGGAGGUCUCAGUAAGAAUCUACAUGAAGCUGAGAUCCCACUGACAAUACUAUAGAGGGGAUUCCUGCAUUGGGAAAGGUCACACUAUGGCCCUCAGUCCAAAUUCUGAACUUUCCUGAGUGUUCAGUCCCACAACAAAUUUUGAGGGGAACCAAACAUUAUUCAGUGAAAACAGAGAACCCCUGCAAGGGUUGGGGGACUUGGUCUGGGGUGACAGCAGAGUCAUCAUCCUGCAUGGCCUUCCCACCCUCCCCACCCAGAAACUCUUUGCAGUGAUCGACCCCUUCUUACCCUCUGGGAAGAUGAGGAUGGGUAGCUUGCUUUUAUCCUGCACAUGCUCAGUCAGUCUUUAGAAGAGACAAAUAGAACAAAGGUUCAGACAGCCUUAUGUCCAUCAUCACCAAAUGCACUUAUAAAACAACCUAUGCAGAUGUCACAGGGGAUGUCGUAUAUGAGUUAACAAAUACGACUAUCUUUUACAGACCCACAGUCUAAAUUGUAUAAAGACAAAACUUAUGAAGACACAGAAAAUCAGAUGACUACUAUUUAACUCCUACAACUAUCGAAUGCAGUCUUAACAUCUAGGUAGAGGACACUGCUCAAACUUGGGGCUACUAAAAGAAUGUGCCUGCCACAGGGCCUUGAGGACAGCACCCUCAAUAAACACCUGUUACUGGACUUCUGGACUUCCUGACAGCCAUGCUGGGUUGGACCUACAGUCCACCUGGCUUUAUACCAUCCCUGAGAGAUGCGGUAAAGGGAGUCCAAUGGCAGGUCCAUUUGCCCUGUGGAAUACCGCCUCACCUGAGUCUUGCUGCUCUCCAUUCCCUGCAAAGCUCUCACCAUUGCUUACACCACAUCUACCUUUCUUUCAAACUUGAAAACAGAGAAGCACUUGGUUCCAUUGCCUUAAGUUGGUUUUUAUUUGUGAUAAUGAAUUCACCUUGAGAUUUCAGAUAGCGUUAAAAGUUCAUAUGUUUAGGGGCACCUGGGUGGCUCAGUUGGUUAAGUGUCUGACUUCCGCUCAGGUCAUGAUCUUAUAGUUGGUGGGUUGGAACCCCGCAUUGGGCUCUGAGCUGUCAGCACAGAGCCUGCUUUGGAUUCUGUGUUUCCCUCUUUCUCUGCCCUUCCCUUUCUCAUGCUCUGUCUCUGUCUCUCAAAAAAUGAAUAAACAUUAAAAAAAUUUUUUUUUAAAGUUCAUACGUUUAUCACAGGGAAUAAAAAAGGUUAAUUAAUAGACGUUACUAACUUGACAAAUGAUACUAGGCUUUCUAUACUUUUUAUAUUCCGUAUUUUAGGGAAAAAAAUGUUUUACUAUGAAAGCAGUCUAGGCUCAGUGUAGAAGACACUGUAAUUCCACUGUGGAGGGAUAACUACCCCUAAAAUGCAUACAUUCUAACUGGUCUCACAGAGCAAUGGCAUUUCAUUGAUUUACCUUUUAGCCACCAGGUGGCGAUCUUUCACUUCAGAACGCUCGAACCAGACGUGCGGGCAGGCCUUCACCAUGGCUCUCUGAAUCACACCCAUGAGUCCCCCGUGCACUUGACCCACCUAACCUCACACAAAGGAAUAACUGGGAGUGAAACCAUCCUCACACAAAUCCCCCACUCUGUGGAGAAAGCCCCAGAUCCCAAAAGGAAAGUACCGCAACCUCUCACCCUCUAACAUUUUAUUGAUCAACACGUUUCUCACUAUAAAGACACCAUUGUUAGACUCCUUGAAUCUUACAUUCGCCUUUUAAUCAGCCAAAGCAAAAAUAUGUAAUUGAAAACACAGCUGAAAGCCCUAAAAAGAACUAAUGGAGCUGAGCAAUACCUUGUGUAAAAAUGCUUUCCCUGGGUAGAUUGUCCAAUGCCCUUGAACCCAGUCCUUUCAAAUCCUUCCCUGUCCUUCCCCCCCUUUCUGUGGUCUACCUAAACAUCCAAAGUCUAAUCUCCAACCGCACUCAGUUACUCUGCUCAGAAUACUUCCUAUCAAAGUACCGAGGAGUUCUCAAAGCAAUAGAAACAAAGGCUACAAUCUACGUUGGGGCCCACAUGUAAAAACAUGGCUCCAUGUUUACACCCUUAGGUAAGAGCUCUAUGAAGGGACCAGAAGCGUCCUAGCCCUGAGCAUUCUAAAGUUCUUACUUGCCCAAGAAAGCAACAGAAAAAGGUCUUACCAUGGCAUAGUAGCCAUCACUGGCCAAAAUGAUGACAUCAAUGGGAGAGGUGUGAUUGGCCACGCAGAUGCCACCGUUUCGAGGCCUGUUUUCCCUGUGUUUAAAACAUAUGCAAAGCAACAAAAAUUCAUGGGAAAUCAUUCAUGUGGAGCCUGCUGCCCCCUCCUCACCAGCUCCAUCAGCUCUGAGAGCUCAGAAGAGCCCCCCGCGGGCCGGCUGCAGGUAGGUUGUGUUUUGCCAGUGACAUUUCCCUCCACAUCAUACCAAGUGACCUCACCUGUCAUGGUAGGUAAUGAUGGCUGUCAGGGCUCGCACGCAGAUCCGGUAACACAUUAAGUGAACAUGUUUACUCAGGAACUCCUUAAACCUGAUACAACAGGACAAAGAUUUUUGUUUUUAUUUUACGCAUGGGAAGGCAGGAAAGUUACUGACUCUAACAAUGUAAUUAUCACUGCCUACAGUCCUUUAUGACUGCUAAGUAUUUUUAUAAAUAUUGGUGGAUAUGAUAAAACUACAAUGUAAUAGUGUCUUUAUGCCUGCAUAUGAGGACACAAAGAAAUGAGGAGAAUUGCUUAAAUUCACCUAAGUUAAUGGGUUUAGAAUUUAUAGCUCUCAAAUGUCCACCACAGGUGAGUCUCCUCAAUUCUCUUCCUUCCCAGCCAACACCUAGAGGCAGGGCAAAGACAGAGGGUCUGACCUCACCAGCCCAGGGAAGAAGAGAGCCAGCUCUCGAACUUUCAGAUGAAACAAAUUUCUCUUCAAAAAAAAAACAAAACAACAACACGAAAAAGCCCUACCUAUAUUUCUUAUCCUCUUACCAAUUUAUCAACACAGCAGAAUGCUCAAAAGUAAACAAUGUGCUGUAAAAUCUGCUGGCACUGAACUCCACGGCUGUGAGGUUCCUCCCUUCAACACUCUUCCCAGAGUGUGUCAGAGGGCAAAAGAACACAGUCACAGAUCAAGACUGGUGAAAAAAACCAAAAAAACCCCACAACCUUCAUGCUGAUGCCACUGUUAUCACUGGCUUAUCUUAUCUAUCGAAGAUGCUAUGGAUGUGGCUGUCCCCAAAGGAGUGGCCUGGCUGGAGCCACCAUUUGUGGACAUGGACUCACCUCCCGUUUGGCAGGUAUCCCACCACGGUUGUGCCUACCACCAGAAGGCUAAUCCCAGUGAAAGCAAGAGCUAUCCUGUAAAGAAGAAGACCCAUGAGAACUCAGCACACAAAUCCUUGCACUAAGGACAGAAUCAAGAAUGUGAAAAUGAAAGUGGGCAUCACAAAACCACCCCCAAGACCUGAUCAGCCAGGACCCAUCUAGAUAGGAGCUCCAUCUAGAAAAGUGAGCAGGCCUAUCAUCACCAGAGAGCAUCUGAAUUCCAAGCUGCCAGUGAACUGUGGAUUUGGCUCUCAGCUGACACGACCUCCUCAGGCAUCAGGCUGCCAGAACGACGAUGGAAAAGCCUACUGUUGGCUGCUGUGCCCUCAGGUACCUGCUGUCCUGCUGUCUUACCCUUCCCUUUGGCUCUGCACCCUGGCAGAAGCACAGCUUCUCUGUAGAGCAACAGGAAGUAGAGCCCGAAGGUACCAGGAGCCAGCAAGGCGUACUCAGAAUAGUACACGGUACAGAAAAACGGAGAGAUCAAUGUUGCCUCUGUAUUAGAGAGGCACGCUUAUAGGAAAGAAUUGGCUGUGCCCAGGGAGCAGUAAUCAGAGUACACCACGUUCCCUGGCCCUGUGUUUAGGCCACGUAGGCGAGCAGUUUGAUUUUAAGAAACCCAACUAUUUCUGUCUGAUAUGCAGAGAAUCCAAGGGCCUCUAAAGGAUAAUCACCAGUGUACCCUUCCAAGGGUCGGACGGACUGGCCAGUGACAGAAUCAUACCAUGAUCCUUUCUAAAACGGGAAAGCAAAGCAGGGCGACCCAGGUAGGUCAGUCACGCCUCGGGCUUAGAGGCAGCGGCUCAGGCCUUUUGUCCCCAUGAGGCCUGCCCUCACCUGAGUGGCAGAAGGAAGCAAUAUCGAAUCAGCACUCCUAAUCCCCAUAAGACCGUGAGCCGAAGGCUGAUGUACUGGAAGUUAUAGUUGGUUCUGCUCAGCAGGUUCCAGGACUCCAAUUCCUCUGCUGAGAAUCUCUUUGUCACCUCAUCAUCCAUAAUGGUCUCCAUUCCUUUCCGGCAAAAGUAGAAGAUGUCAGAGAGCUCAAACUCUGGAGUAUUAUCCAGAGCCUUACUACUACCACUUCGGCGGAUUUCUUUGAUC